CCAGACGGUCGGACGGCCGCCGGCGGCAACGCUGGAGGAAAGUCCGGGCUCCACGGGAAUACGGUGCCGGCUAACGGCCGGCGGGGGCGACCCCAGGGAAAGUGCCACAGAAAGCAAACCGCCCGGCUUUGGCGCGCGAGCGUCCGCCGGGUAAGGGUGAAAGGGUGCGGCAAGAGCGCACCGCGCCUGCGGCAACGCAGGUGGCAGGGUAAACCCCACCGGGAGCAAGACCGAAUAGGGGUGGCAGGCGCAAGCCAGGGGCAUUCCCGCUCCGCCGCCCGGGUUGGUCGCGUGAGGCGCAUCGUGAGAUGCGUCCCAGAGGAAUGGCCGUCCCGCGCCGCGAGGUGCGGACAGAACCCGGCUUACAGACCGUCUGGCGCU
rnacentral:RNase_P_RNA from 1 species